rnacentral:rRNA from 1 species
UUGGAGAGUUUGAUCCUGGCUCAGGANNNNNNNNNNGACGAACGCUGGCGGCGUGCUUAACACAUGCAAGUCGAACGAAGAGCGAUGGAAGCUUGCUUCUAUCAAUCUUAGUGGCGAACGGGUGAGUAACGCGUAAUCAACCUGCCCUUCAGAGGGGGACAACAGUUGGAAACGACUGCUAAUACCGCAUACGAUCCAAUCUCGGCAUCGAGGAUGGAUGAAAGGUGGCCUCUAUUUAUAAGCUAUCACUGAAGGAGGGGAUUGCGUCUGAUUAGCUAGUUGGAGGGGUAACGGCCCACCAAGGCAAUGAUCAGUAGCCGGUCUGAGAGGAUG